CUGAUGUGUUUAAGAGUCCGUUCACAGAUGUCUCCUGAUCAACACGUGACGGUAAUGUCUGAACUGUCUCCGGAUAAUGGCCAUCCUCUCCACCUGCGCCCCCAUCUUCAUGCUUGGGACGGAGCCUUGUGCCCACACCAGUUUUGGCCCAAACUCUGAUUCCAUCUGGGCCUGCUGGCCCCGGGAGGCUUCUGUUCACCGCCCGCCGGAGGGUUCCAUGUCUCUGUCUCUUGAUGUAUCCCUCAUUUUGAUGGACACACAGUAGUGACUUCUGAGGAGAGAGGCAAACGAGAGGAUUUUGAGUCAUUUUGAAAAUAACUUUAUUCUUAUUGUACUUGAUUAAUUAUUUUUGAGGCAAUAUAACAAUAUAUUUUACAUGAAUUGAAAAGAUGGUGGGCAAUCUAUUUUAUUAUUAGGAAGCA
rnacentral:lncRNA from 1 species